rnacentral:rRNA from 1 species
UACGUAGGUGGCAAGCGUUGUCCGGAUUUACUGGGCGUAAAGGGCGUGCAGGCGGUUUGUUAAGUGCAGGGUGAAAGCCCCCGGCUCAACUGGGGAGGGUCACGCGAUACUGAUCGACUCGAAGGCAGGAGAGGGUAGUGGAAUUCCCGGUGUAGUGGUGAAAUGCGUAGAUAUCGGGAGGAACACCAGUGGCGAAGGCGACUACCUGGCCUGUUCUUGACGCUGAGGCGCGAAAGCUAGGGGAGCAAACGGGG